ACAAAUAUAAUAACAAUGAUCCAUGGAAACAAAAUCAUACAUAGCAAAUAUCCAUAUAUAUCAUAGGGUACACAUAUGAGUUCACAAAGUAUCACAUCUAGCUGGGCAUCUUCAAGUCAUGUACACUCUAGGAGCCCUUUCGACCAUCAGCCUCUACACACAUGCUAAGCUGCAACUAUGCUACUGGAAAGGAGACGAAGUAGAACUACUCGUUGUGUCGAGGGGAUGAAAGCGCCGCAUCAGGUUGCAUGUAGCUCCGUACACAUGCUAAGCUGCAACUAUGCUACUGGAAAGGAGACGAAGUAGAACUACUCGCUGUGUCGAGGGGAUGAAAGCGCCGCAUCAGGUUGCAUGUAGCUCCGUGUGACGAGUCAUCGCUAAAGCUCCAUCCCUUCUUCAUGUGUCCACUGAAAUUAACCAAACAAGAAAUAGGUUUCGAUUUAGCUUCAUCAUAUCAAAUAGAUUCAGACUCGAGAACAUCAUUCAUCAUACUAAAGGCAUUUUUUAUCAAUCAAAUAAACUUGUCAAGCAUUUGCAAACAUUAAGCAUCAUACAAAUUAAUGUUGGUUUAAAAUCAAGCUAAUAUUAGAACCAUGAAUGUUCCGAUGUCGAUUGUGCUAACAGUUUCUGCCCGUCAAUGCAAACAAAUACAAUUUUAAAAAAUAGCACGUGUCAACAGGCUCUCCACCCAUUCUAGAUAAAGAACAAAUCACGAAUCAUCUCACAAAGAUUCAGUAAUUUAUAUGUCAAAAACCAGAAAAGACAUUAAUACAUAUUUUUAGUCGUGUUAUAACUGAAAUAACACGCCACAACUAAUCACUGAAGUAUAGUGGGCACUAAGAAUUAAGGUUUUCAAUUACCUCAAGAGUCAUAAAUACUAAGCAUGUAAUGGAUGUCAAAGGAAACAAAUUCAGAAUGAAAGAGCACAUGUGUAUAUGCUCUUCAACCAUUUAGAUAAAGACCAAUCAGAAGUUGACUCACCAAAAUCCAGUUAUUGGGUUGAUAGCAAAUCUAAUGACAAAAAACUAGAAAGGACAUGGCUAGAGAUUUCCAGUUGCUAUAACAAAUGACUCGGUGGCCAUGAAUCGGAGCAUGCUACUGAUGUUGCAUGAAGGACACAAGCUUCAGAACAGAGAGGAGGGAGGAAGAGGAGGAAGAAGGGAGGGGAUGAAGCUCACCAUGAGAUUUUUGAAACAGAUGCCAUGCACGGCUGCCACCACGGUUGUGGGGGAGCCAUCCACCGCCGUCUAGGAAACCACCGGAGGUGAGCCACUGUUGUGCCAGGGUUGGGCCACCACGGGCGUACGUCCCGCAGCCACCAGGUUCAGGAGCACCAUCCUGGUAGGCACGUGUGGGAGUCAUGAAAAAACCAUCUACAAGCAACGAUGCACUCAUUGGCAAAUAUCAGACAAAAAUUUAGAAGGAUAUUAUUACUGUUACAUAUGUUUUAUCAUAUAGCACUUCCAAGUAGACCUCACACAACUAGAGAAUAUGUAUAUCAUUAUCGUAAAAGCCAUUAUUUCAGACUAUGUUCAAUACAGAAUAAUAUAUAUAGCGGACUCGGAAGUUAAAUUUCUUGAUACAAAGUGUGUGACUCGAGAACUUAUCUACUUAAUAAUACAAUUCUUGGUACAAGUGCACGGAAGUCAUCACACUGAAUGUAAGUGGAUAGACCACCAGCCGAGCAGCCCGUAAGAAAAGCCUGGAAUUCAAGAAACGGGUGCCAUCCUAUAUAGAUUAGAGUAUUACUCACGAUAUCUGUUGUGCCGUUGAACUGUAUGAAGUAGGAACUGAGAAGUAAUUUACAAAAGAUUCUACCAACCUGAAAUUCCUCUUCGACAUUUCCGAAAAAUGAUGCACCAUCACAAUACCUUCAAUUUAUUCCAAUUGUAAAAGUCUACAGGUUCAGACAAACCAAUUAAAAUCAAUACCAUCAUGAAUUGACAAGCACCUCAGUUUGUUCAAUUUGUAUACACCACACACACAUAUUGCAACGUACUCCCUACAAGCUACUUGGAGCAACAAUAAAUUAAAGUGGCACAGAUGUUUAUGGUUUUUUAACAGCGAGUGUACAUGCUUGCUGGAGUAGUUGCAGUACCUAGUCAUACUCAUAGCCCUAGACUGGCUACACAAGUGAAGAUAAGGUGCCAGAGCUGGAGCCUGAAAACGUAUAGACUCUUAGCCAUAUCUUCUUGUUUCAACAUAAUAAAAUUAUCACUAAUGAGAAGCUCACCAUCAUCUCUAAACAUGGCAUUUGAAUUUCAGAUUAAAAUACCUAGAGGUUUUCCAUUUCCUUGUGACAAAACUAAAUAAUAAGUAAUGAAACCAUGAACAAUAUGAAAUUAGUACAACAAGCAAAUACUUAAGAUCAUUUUGGUUCAGAAUUCAGCAUCACGUUUCUAAAGCAGAACUUACAGAGACUAUGGCAGCGAAUUUCAAAGCAUCGUACGUCAAACAGAGCAGCGUUCAACAAAACAGCAAAUAACGCCCUACAAUGGCUUCAGGCGGCACCUUUUUGUCCAUUCAGCGCCUCUGAAUUCACCUAGUCUGCCGACUGUGCGGACCUCGUCGGAGAAGCCUCCUGUCGACGUCGCCUCUCGCCUUCAUACAUGCCCUGCCAUGCGCCGCCAACACGCUAGCCGCACCAGGAAUCGAAUCAGCGCGUGUGUCAGCAAUCCGCGGGAGAACCGCUAGAGGAACCAGAUCUGGCUGGUCCAAGCUAUGUGCGUCGUAGUGGGAACCUGCAACACAUGUCCAUGGAGGGCGGUGUAGCCAUGUCAGGCGGCUCCCCUGUCGACCGGACUAGGAAAAAAACGGAUAGAUCUCCUAGUAGGGGAGGGUUCCCUUACAUGUCAACAGCGUCCUCCAGCAACAUCUUCCAUCGUCGGUUAGCCGGAGACAACGCAGCCUUCUACCGCGAUGAGGGGUGGGGAAUAGCUGCUCCAGACGGCGGCUGGUUUCGAGAACCACCGUGGCAAGGAGUGAGGGAGGGAGGUUGGAUCUG
rnacentral:lncRNA from 1 species